rnacentral:tRNA from 4 species
GCGAGAGUAGCAUAGUGGUAGUGCGCUUGCUUCCCAAGCAAGAUAUGCGGGUCCGAUUCCCGUCUCUCGCUCCA